UGUGAGCUUGGGCGGCUGCGGCUGCACAGCCUCGAUGCGCCCCCUCAGGCUGUGCUGGGUGUUCUGCUCCCAAGGUUGGGAGCGAGGACAACUUUGCCGGCGCUGAAAACUCUUCGGCGCCAGAAAGAGACCUAGGGGGCAGGCGAAGUGCGACUUGCUCUCGCUUCUCUCACUUGUAUUUUCCUAAUUGCAAAAAUCGUGUUUGUUCACUGGAAGUAAGAGCAAAUGCAGGACUGUGUUGUUAACGGGCUGCAUACGUACCACCAAACGAGCGAAACUUUUCUGUCCGCUGCUACUGAAUUCUCUUUAGAAAAACAAACAAACAAACAAACAAACAAACACCUGAAUGCAAAGGCAGUAGUCAAGCGAACCUGCACAGCAAAAGUGAAAGAGUUGAUCAAAGAACAUCAUCAAGAGAUUGAAGAAGCAGUUUAGCAAUUUUAUUCCAAACACAGUGACAGCGUGUGUUUGGUGAAACGCUGGGAAGAUUCAGCACUUCACUGAGUUGUCCUUUAUGUGGGAUAACCUGAGCAGGUACAUGGAAUUUUGCAAAGUCCCUUUCAACCCAGGAGGAUGAUCUGAGAUGACAGAUGGCCUACGUGAUGAGAAGAAGUGACGUGAACGACGUAGAUACGUAACAUAGCGUUGGGUUACUACUGACCUUCUGACCUUACAUCAGAAGCAGUAUCAUCUGCUUUGGACCCCAGAUGACUGUGAGCAACUGAAUGAACAGAAAGCAAAACC